rnacentral:rRNA from 1 species
GAUGAACGCUGGCGGCGUGCCUAAUACAUGCAAGUCGAGCGAACGGACGAGAAGCUUGCUUCUCUGAUGUUAGCGGCGGACGGGUGAGUAACACGUGGAUAACCUACCUAUAAGACUGGGAUAACUUCGGGAAACCGGAGCUAAUACCGGAUAAUAUUUUGAACCGCAUGGUUCAAAAGUGAAAGACGGUCUUGCUGUCACUUAUAGAUGUAUCCGCGCUGCAUUAGCUAGUUGGUAAGGUAACGGCUUACCAAGGCAACGAUGCAUAGCCGACCUGAGAGGGUGAUCGGCCAUACUGGAACUGAGACACGGUCCAGACUCCUACGGGAGGCAGCAGUAGGGAAUCUUCCGCAAUGGGCGAAAGCCUGACGGAGCAACGCCGCGUGAGUGAUGAAGGUCUUCGGAUCGUAAAACUCUGUUAUUAGGGAAGAACAUAUGUGUAAGUAACUGUGCACAUCUUGACGGUACCUAAUCAGAAAGCCACGGCUAACUACGUG